UAGGGAAUCUUCGGCAAUGGACGAAAGUCUGACCGAGCAACGCCGCGUGAGUGAAGAAGGUUUUCGGAUCGUAAAACUCUGUUGUUAGAGAAGAACAAGGACGUUAGUAACUGAACGUCCCCUGACGGUAUCUAACCAGAAAGCCACGGCUAACUACGUGCCAGCAGCCGCGGUAAUACGUAGGUGGCAAGCGUUGUCCGGAUUUAUUGGGCGUAAAGCGAGCGCAGGCGGUUUCUUAAGUCUGAUGUUAAAGCCCCCGGCUCAACCGGGGAGGGUCAUUGGAAACUGGGAGACUUGAGUGCAGAAGAGGAGAGUGGAAUUCCAUGUGUAGCGGUGAAAUGCGUAGAUAUAUGGAGGAACACCAGUGGCGAAGGCGGCUCUCUGGUCUGUAACUGACGCUGAGGCUCGAAAGCGUGGGGAGCAAACAGG
rnacentral:rRNA from 1 species